CACCGCGGUUAAACGAGAGGCCCUAGUUGAUAGAACAACGGCGUAAAGGGUGGUUAAGGACAGUAAACUAAUAAAGUCGAAUGGCCCUUUGGCUGUCAUACGCUUCUAGGAGUCUGAAGUCCAGAAUACGAAAGUAACUUUAAAAUAGCCCACCUGACCCCACGAAAACUGAGAAA
rnacentral:rRNA from 1 species